rnacentral:rRNA from 1 species
GACGAAGGAUCCAAGCGUUGUCCGGAUUUACUGGGUUUAAAGGGUGCGUAGGCGGGAUAUUAAGUCAGUGGUGAAAGCCCACAGCUCAACUGUGGAACUGCCAUUGAAACUGAUAUUCUUGAAUAUGGUUGAGGUAGAUGGAAUAUAACAUGUAGCGGUGAAAUGCUUAGAUAUGUUAUAGAACACCGAUUGCGAAGGCAGUCUGCUAAGCCAUCAUUGACGCUGAGGCACGAAAGCGUGGGGAGCAAACAGGAUUAGAUACCCUGGUAGUCCACGCCCUAAACGUUGAUUACUCGCUGUUGGCGAUACACUGUCAGCGGCUAAGCGAAAGCGUUAAGUAAUCCACCUGGGAAGUACGUCCGCAAGGAUGAAACUCAAAGGAAUUGACGGGGGCCCGCACAAGCGGAGGAGCAUGUGGUUUAAUUCGAUGAUACGCGAGAAACCUUACCUAGGCUUAAAUGUCAGGUGACCGCUGCCGAAAGGUGGCUUCCCUUCGGGGCAACUGGCAAGGUGCUGCAUGGCUGUCGUCAGCUCGUGCCGUGAGGUGUUGGGUUAAGUCCCGCAACGAGCGCAACCUCCAUCUUUAGUUGCUAACAGGUUAAGCUGAGGACUCUAAAGAAACUGCCUGCGCAAGUAGUGAGGAAGGCGGGGACGACGUCAAGUCAUCAUGGCCCUUACGCCUAGGGCUACACACGUGCUACAAUGGAUGGUACAAUGAGAUGCCAGCUAGUAAUAGUGAGCAAACCUCAAAAAGCCAUUCUCAGUUCGGAUUGAGGUCUGCAACUCGACCUCAUGAAGCUGGAUUCGCUAGUAAUCGUAUAUCAGCAUUGAUACGGUGAAUACGUUCUCGGGCCU